rnacentral:rRNA from 1 species
AACUUUACACGAUCUCUGGCUCUCGCAUCGAUGAAGAACGCACGAAUGCGAUAAGUAAUGUGAAUUGCAGAAUUCAGUGAAUCAUCGAAUCUUUGAACGCACCUUGCGCUCCCUGGCAUUCCGGGGAGCACGCCUGUUCGAGUAUCG